UGAAUUCAAAUUGUUUCUUGUUACCAUUGACUUGAAGUUCACUGUAUCUUCCUUUAUCUUCUUGGCGACGUUUUCAGCAUUGGUCUCAUAUUCGUCAAUGAUAUCUCUUUUAAAACUUUUGAACUGUUUAUCAAAAUACGUACGCAAAAGAUAUAAAGACUAAAGUAUCGGAAUUUGAUACAUCUUGUUGAACCUCCUGCUGUGGUAAAUCUAUUCCCUGACCAUCAUUGUGAAAAGUUACGCUAGCAGGCUGAUCUUCAGUGGACUCCUCUGACAUAUCGUAAAUGCGUGUUGUCGACUAGAACUACAAGGCUCGAAUGCCGAGUACCCGGACACCUUAGCCUCUCCUCACUCGUAUCGCACCACUAGCACGCGUACGUGCGACUACAUGCAUAUGAUUAGGGAACGAACAAACACAGACAUAGACAGCUCAGAUACAAGAUUGUACCUUCAGCAAAUAUGUAAGGUUGUGUGUAUUGAUUUCCUUUCAACAUGUACGAGUUGCAGAUUAUCAUCGCCUCAUUAUUCGUAGUAUAUACAGCUAUGCUAGCGAUAUGGUUUUCCCCAGGUCGGAUAUCAGAUAUGGAACAAAACAUUAAAACGGCAAAUGGAGAAAUGGCAAAGAUAAAGAAACAAAUGGAUACUGAUGAAACUGAAAUAUUCGUGUUGAAGGCUGAUUGGAUUGAAAUACAAAAAAUGAAUAAUGAAAUAUUGCAAAAGAUGAGAAACACAGAUGAAAUACUUGAAGAUCUAGAUCAAAGAACAAGGGAGAUAGAACGAAAAGUCAAAAACGGUCAGGCUAUAUUUGGACAUCUUAAGAAUUAUGUGAAUGAUCAAGACGACAAAAAUGAUCAGUUCAAGGAGGACGUGGAUCAACUUUAUCAGAUGUAUAACCGUAUUCAGGAGAAUCGAGAAAACGGUCAUCGGUCCCAUCAUGAAAGACGAAAUGAACGACAGCGAGAUGAACCCAAUAAGCCAAAUUGGGUGGUACAGCAAAUGAACAAAUUGAUUGAUUUUGCCUUUCAAGUUGCUGCAAAAAUAGGUGAAGCUGUAUCUGGGAGAGCUCCUCGCAUAUUGUAAAAACAAAACACAUUAAAUACAAAGGAUUCACAAUCA